rnacentral:rRNA from 1 species
CGUAGCCGGCCGCACAAGUCCGUCGGGAAAUCCACCCGCCUAACGGGUGGGCGUCCGGCGGAAACUGUGCGGCUUGGGACCGGAAGACCCGAGGGGUACGUCCGGGGUAGGAGUGAAAUCCCGUAAUCCUGGACGGACCGCCGGUGGCGAAAGCGCCUCGGGAAGACGGAUCCGACGGUGAGGGACGAAAGCUAGGGUCUCGAACCGGAUUAGAUACCCGGGUAGUCCUAGCCGUAAACGAUGCUCGCUAGGUGUGGCGCAGGCUACGAGCCUGCGCUGUGCCGUAGGGAAGCCGUGAAGCGAGCCGCCUGGGAAGUACGCCCGCAAGGAUGAAACUUAAAGGAAUUGGCGGGGGAGCACUACAACCGGAGGAGCCUGCGGUUUAAUUGGACUCAACGCCGGACAUCUCACCAGCACCGACAGUAGUCGUGACGGUCAGGUUGAUGACCUUACCCGAGCUACUGAGAGGAGGUGCAUGGCCGCCGUCAGCUCGUACCGUGAGGCGUCCUGUUAAGUCAGGCAACGAGCGAGACCCGCACCCCUAGUUGCCAGCAGCACCCACGUGGUGGCUGGGUACACUAGGGGGACUGCCGCUGCCGAAGCGGAGGAAGGAACGGGCAACGGUAGGUCAGUAUGCCCCGAAUGUGCUGGGCUACACGCGGGCUACAAUGGCCGGGACAAUGGGAUGCGACCCCGAGGGGGGAAGCUAAUCUCCUAAACCCGGUCGUAGUUCGGAUUGAGGGCUGAAACUCGCCCUCAUGAAGCUGGAUUCGGUAGUAA